rnacentral:misc_RNA from 1 species
AUUCUUUCAGGUGGUAUGUGGAUACAGUAGUUGGUGAGAGGAAGCAAGACUUUGUGAUGAGUAUGAGAUAAGAGUCUUCUAGUCAACCGUUUUGUAUGUUAAGUCUGUUAAUUGAUAAAUUUUUGUCAUGGAUGUUGUCUAAGAGCAUGAUGUUAUACCUGUGCAUUGCCUAAUUUGUGCCAUGUCCAGAAUCAACAAAAUGACUUUGGUUUCUGCUUACAAAUUGAUUGUUAAUGUUUUGUUCUCUUACAGAAUUUAUCUUUGAUUUCACAAACACAUUUCUCUUGUUAAUGUGAUUCUUCUUACAUCUUGGAUAGAUCGACCCUUA